rnacentral:rRNA from 1 species
UACGAAGGGGGCUAGCGUUGCUCGGAAUCACUGGGCGUAAAGGGUGCGUAGGCGGGUCUUUAAGUCCGGGGUGAAAUCCUGGAGCUCAACUCCAGAACUGCCUUUGAUACUGAAGAUCUUGAGUUCGGGAGAGGUGAGUGGAACUGCGAGUGUAGAGGUGAAAUUCGUAGAUAUUCGCAAGAACACCAGUGGCGAAGGCGGCUCACUGGCCCGAUACUAACGCUGAGGCACGAAAGCGUGGGGAGCAAACAGG